rnacentral:tRNA from 1 species
GGUCUUAUAUUCAAAAAAUGAUUUUGGAUUGCAAUUCUAAAGGUGUAGAGAUAAUACUGAGACUU